GUUGGGUGUGCUUUUCCUAAUAUAUCUUGAUGGAUGAUCAGGAAAAAAAAGCUGGUGUGUCCAACAGCUUGAUAAUUUCAGGAUCAAAACAGAUUUUAUAUGUUGAUUUUCUUUCACUUGCUGAUGCAUUUUUUUAACCAAGCCGCUGGUGCAUAAGAUCUAGCCGGCAGCACACAGAACACAUUAGGAGAACAAAGGGAAUGUGAGAUUAAACCAAAAAGAGGCAAGAGCAGCAUUUCCUCACUGUUCUGCAUGAAGGCAGGAGCUGCUCCAAGACGAUGCAAACUCAGUUUUCUUAUUGGACUUAUGGCCUCUUCCCCUGUCAGAUUAUUCAAAGGCAAGUUUCCUAUCACCUCUCCUGAAGAUGCACCUUUGCCGGGGCGUAAGGAAGCCUCCAACGCCUUGACUCACCACAAAGUCUCCUCAACAAAAAGAACGCUGUGCACAUUGGAGUGGCUCCAGGGGACUUCAGCAAUGAAGGCAGGUAUGGGUUGUGCUGGCCAGCCACAGUGCCUGCUAGACUGCAGCCAGCUGGAGACACCUUUUUGUCCCAAAGCCUCUCUUCUGCAGCUGAACACUGAAGAAAGGCACUGAAGACAGGAAUUUGCAGAAGCUGAACAAUGAUAGUGGUGAAACCAUCUAUGAAGCCAUCUAUGACAGGCAGGUUGCCUGGAAAGACACUGUGAAUUCACCUCUGAUCCGCACCAGUAAAACCUCCUGUUAAAUGGAGAAAGUCAAGGCUGGUGCUUGUCUUCUUUCAUUGCCUUCUCAGGAUGUUCAGCUUGUGAUGACUGCAACAAAAGCAGACAUCUGACAUGUCUACUGGCCUCAGGGCAGUGGAGUGGCAUGACAGAGCUGCCAGUCCUGUGGCUUUGAUUGGCUUCCCCCUUUCAACCUCCUCAAUUUCUAUUUAGAAGUUGCAUGAGAUUUUUUAAACAAGUGCCUAAAUUAACUGGCACAAAUCAUCUUGCCCAGCUGAAUACCCAAGUGAAAUACUUUAUUUUUACAUAUCCAAGACAUUUAAAUGCUAUUUGACGACCUGGGUAGAGCAAAGACUGAAUAGUCAGGAUGCACAAUUUUCUUCAUUUAGUUUACUCUUUACCAGGUAGCCCAGGCUGAUGGUGACUGACACUCCUUGGCUCUUUGUGACAGUUUAUGUUUAUGCAGCAGCAGAUCUUAAGUGAGUACUAGUAUCAAAACAGUCAAUCAAUAUUGGCAGUAAGUGGUGGCUUUACUGCAAAUCCUUCAAGCAGAAAGAUUAAAACUAGGGGAAUGCAUUGAACUGCUUAGCCCUUAUCUCCUAAAUGCACAGCAUGACUUGAAGGCUGGGCCAUGAUGGCAGCCUGGAGUUUAGUGGGUGAUAGCAGUAGCUGCAUUCCAGAAGCUCAUUCCUCCUGGCUGGGCUGUGUGGGACUCAAUGGCCUUACCCAGGGCAGGGCAGGACUGCAACCGGGAGCAGGGCAGCAUGCCCAGCUCUGAUGGCACACCAGCAGUGAGCAAGGACAACUUCAUCAAAAAAGGCAGUGACAUUUAUAAGGAAGAAGAGAAAAAAUAUUACAAUUUCUCGUACCUGGACAGUAAAAGUGCAGAUGGCAGUGACAUUUAAGGGAAGAUGUGCAUGAACUAUGUCUUUCAAAACCUGAUAGUCAUUUGUAGAUGUAGACAGGUCUGUCAGAGCAGCUAAACCUUGAAACUAUUUUAAUACUACUUGUGAUUAAACUGCUAUGCCAGGCAAAAGCUAGAAGAGAAAAAGAUGCUUUCUUAGAAAGGGGCUGGUAGUAGCACAUGACCUUGGACAGUUUAUUAAGUAAGAAUCAAGUAAAAAGGUGCCUGGACAAAGGAAACCCCUAAAGCUUAUGACUAUUGGAAUUAAUAUGGUAAGACCUCAGGCAAAGACAGCAGAUGACAAUUAGUUCAGACUUAAUGGGCAGUGUUUGCAGAUGUACAAUACAUCUUGGAAAACACUGCAUUACUUGUUCAGGUUUCUGAAAAAUGUAGAAGUCAAUAAUAAAAUACAAAUUGUUAUAAAGACA
ensembl:lncRNA